AACUGAACUGUAGCUUAGUGGUAGAGAAUUGGCCUUGCAUGCCAAAGGCACCUGGUUCAAUCCCCUGUAUCUCCAGGUAGGGUUC